rnacentral:rRNA from 1 species
GACGAACGCUGGCGGCAUGCCUAAUACAUGCAAGUCGAGCGAACAGAUGGAGUGCUUGCACUUCUGACGUUAGCGGCGAACGGGUGAGUAACACGUAAGGAAUCUACCUAUAAGCGGGGGAUAACAUUCGGAAACGGGUGCUAAUACCGCAUAAUAUCUUCUUCCGCAUGGAAGAAGACUGAAAGACGGCUCUGCUGUCACUUAUAGAUGACCUUGCGGUGCAUUGGUUAGUUGGUGGGGUAACGGCCUACCAAGACGAUGAUGCAUAGACGACCUGAGAGGGUGCUCGGCAACAGUGGGACUGAGACACGACCCAAACUCCUACGGGAGGCAGCAGUAGGGAAUCUUCCGCAAUGGGCGAAAGCCUGCCGCAGAAAUGCCGCGUGAGUGAAGAAGGCCUUCGGGUCGUAAAACUCUGUUAUAAGAGAAGAACAAAUUGUAGGAAAUGACUUUUAUUUGACGGUACUUUUUUGAAUAAGCCCCGGCUGACUACGUGCCAGCCGCCGCAGUAA